GAUGAACGCUGGCGGCGUGCCUAAUACAUGCAAGUCGAGCGAACGGACGAGAAGCUUGCUUCUCUGAUGUUAGCGGCGGACGGGUGAGUAACAAGUGGAUAACCUACCUAUAAGACUGGGAUAACUUCGGGAAACCGGAGCUAAUACCGGAUAAUAUUUUGAACCGCAUGGUUCAAAAGUGAAAGACGGUCUUGCUGUCACUUAUAGAUGGAUCCGCGCUGCAUUAGCUAGUUGGUAAGGUAACGGCUUACCAAGGCAACGAUGCAUAGCCGACCUGAGAGUGUGAUCGGCCACACUGAAACUGAGACACGCUCCAGACUCCUACGGGAGGCCGCAGUAGGGAAUCUUCCGCAAUGGGCGAAAGCCUGACGGAGCAACGCCGCGUGAGUGAUGAAGGUCUUCGGAUCGUAAAACUCUGUUAUUAGGGAAGAACAUAUGUGUAAGUAACUGUGCACAUCUUGACGGUACCUAAUCAGAAAGCCACGGCUAACUACGUG
rnacentral:rRNA from 1 species